AAAGAGAAAAGAAUUUUGGUUUUUCUGCCUGGGAGUGAAUUGACGACAAACGUUUGACCCCUUUGUUUGCAGCGGAGGGGCUCUUUGCUGCUGCUGCUGCUGCUGCUGCUGUUGCUGCUGCUGCUCGGUGGUGCCGGAGCCCAUGGUUGCGGCUCUUGAGCAAGAAGCGGGGAGAACAGAGCAUUGGCGUUGACCAGCACGUUGCAUCCGAUGGAAGGAUCCGGCGGCUCCCCUGGGUUGGCUGGCGCUGACGGGGCCGCUCGCUGCUUCACUCCUCACCCUGACGAGGAAGCGGUGCAAGGAGGAGCAGGGAAAGCAGAGCCCUGCGUCACACAACGGUGUCCAAGGCCGGGGCUUUCGACGAGCCGGAGUUGCCGAAUUUUAUGUUACGGAUGGGUUGUUUGUUUUUUUUUUUUUUUUGGUUUGGCUUUUUAGUUUUCGAUUUCUUUUAAGUUUGAAGAGAGGAGGAGGAGGAAAAAAAAAAAAAAAAAAGCUCGAGCUCGCGUUGAAUCUUUUUGCACCGAGUUGGCCCCCCCCCCCAAAAAAAAAAAAGAGCGAUGCUGAGGCGUUAAGCGUGUUUAGAUGGCGUUAAUAAAGCCUGCCCCGCUCCUCCACCUCCAGGGGCCUUGCCGCAGCGUCGCGGUGCUGGGGACGACGAGUUGCCGAGAGCGAGAGUCGGUAAUUUAAAAAGCUUUUGCGUUGGUGUCAGUGCCUUAUUCCGCCCGGUUUCGGAACCCCGAUUCCACACGCCUCGGAUGUGCAUGCGGCCCUGCUCGCGUCCCGGGUACGGCCGCGCGUUCGCUCGCGGUCCGGCACGCCGUGCGCUGCGGAUGGCCAGAGCAGGAGGAGGAGGAGGAGGAGGAGGAGGAGGACGGAGGCGGCGCGCUGCUCCUGGGUGCUGCGGUUCCUGCCUUCCCCUGGCCGGGGGCUCCGCGUUGGCUUCAGGAGACGUCGGGGCGCAGUUGGACGACGACGGCUGAGAACCGAGUGGGAGCGGACCCGGCUGCGGUGUUGCCUUGGGAAGCCUCUCGUGUUGCGUUCCAGUUCACGCGACGUGCGGACGAAGACGCCUCGAGACGCGAGCUCGCCCUCGUUGCCUUGACGUCCUUGAACCUCCCGUGGAUAAGGAACCUGCUAGGCUGCAGGGGCCUCCCGGCAGAAGGACGCUGUUCCCGGGGCAAAGAGCGGUGUAAAUCCCCGAACCAGGUCCGUGCUGGCAGGCGCCUGGAUCCGAAGCCGAUCCUUUCCCGAGCAGGACAGCUUCACCCUGCGUGGGGACGUUGGUUUUUCUGCAGCUUCCACUUCUGGGCCAGCGGCUCCAAGAGGAAGGAGACGGGAGAGAGGAGAGCGCAGGCCCCGGCCAAGAGGAAGGAGCAGGCGUAAGUCUGCGUGUAGUCAUACAGCCACCCUGCAGGAGAGGAGAGCGUUAUUAAGGUGGGGGUUUAUUUCUCACCGAAAAUCACUUUGGGGAGGUGGGAGGGAGGCCAGGUAUUUUCUGCAGGUCACCUUCCCCCUUCGUGUGCCUGUGGCCGUGCAGCUGGACGACAGACAAACUGCAGGGGGUUCUUCUUGGGACCGACGUUGCCAGCCCCUUGGUGUGGAUGUGGAUUUUGAAUUGGAUUACACUGAAUCCCUGACAUUUCUUUUUUUUCCUGUUUAACUACGAGGGCCCCAAGGAGCUGCUGCAGCAGAUGUGAGGUCCUGCUGGAUGACGGGAUGCUUUGCACGUGUCGGGCUUUGCAACAUCUGCGCUGCGAUCUCCGCAUUCCCCCGGGCGUGCUGCCUUGUGAGCAGACCCAGCGCAGCAACCUGUCCGACAUGAGACAUCCCAGACGAGGGGCUGGGAGCAAGCUUGCUAAAUGGAAGCUUUGCCAGCACUUGAAAGGAAAUCCUAAAUUCCACAGAGACCUGGGAAUCUGCACUGGGGCAGGUCGCCUUUUAAAAUGAGCUCGAAGCGUUUAGUUUGGUUACAUCUCCUUUCCGGAGCUUCACCUUUAAAUGUGUUUAUCAUCUAGUGCCUGGGCCUUCCAUUUCGAUUCCCCUGCUUGAAUCUGAAAUAUGCAAAGCAAUAGGAGCUGCUGCUGCUUGUUAUGAAUCCUGCACUGUGUUCCCAAAUCUGGCACCUGGAUGUGUGGGGCAGGUUAGCAGCGCAGUGCCCAGCUGAGCCAGAGCUGCCGCUGGCAUAAAGCAGAAUUCCAUGUGUGAUAUCCAUGGAUUUACACCAUUUACUCCAUCAGGUUGGGAUCUGGAUAGGCCAGGAAACAACAGCACCAGAGCCUUGUUCCCAGUGUCACACAUGGGAUAGCAGGGAAGGAAUUGGUGCUGCUCAGCGUGAGGCUGGGUGACCAAAAGAGAUAGAUGCCAGUGCUUUCCUUGCUGGCAUUGCACGGCCACAGAGGGCUUUGGGAGAAGGGAAAGCCUUGCACGCUGCCUUGCUGCAUCCCUGUGUGCUCACCAGCUUUCAGUUAUCCCGUGCCUUUGGCAGCUCUCAGCUCUGUUGUUUUUCCUUUUUCUCAGGGAUGUUGCUUGAGCCCAGGAGUGCCUUGCCAGAGGGCAGAGCCCAGGGAAGCACAGCACGGCGCUGGGUGAGGGGAUUUGCUCCCAUUGCCACCACCCCUGCUGUGCAGGACGGGUCGUCCUCAGAGGUGGGGUCAGCUUCUGCUGCUUGAGGAUCUAUGGGACGUGGACCAGAGAUGCUGACGCUGUCGUCUGUAAGAUGUGGACACCCAGAGCAGAGUGCUCCAGCUGUGAUAAGCUCUGAAUCCUAUUACUUUUAACAUCUUCGUGGUAUUUCUAAACACAGGGUUUUUCUGGUUGUUUUUUGUUGUUGUUGUUGUUGUAUACAGAAGCUGUGCUUAGUGCUGAAGGCCCCAUGUCCCCUCCUGGCUGGCAGUGCCAUGCAGGUGAUGCUCUGAGUGCCUCUCCCUGAGCAACAGGGGCCAAAUCCUGCAGCAGGGAGCUGAGCGAGCUGAGCAUGCAGCAGAGCAGUGGUUUUGCAAGCUGCUCAGGUUGCUGAAAUUGCACAGCUGCUCUGUGAGGGGCCUGGCACAGCAAUGCCUAGCACAAAGGCAGGCACACUGGAGAUGAGAGCAUUUAAGUCCAUGUGCCAGCGCUGCUUUCAAAUGACUCCUUCCUCUCCCCCUUUUACCGCCCACGUUUGUUGGAGCUGGAGCUGUUGCUGCGUGCUGGCUGCAGGAGUCGGUUUUGUAAUCUUGAAUGCCAUCGUUUGUUUGGUGUUUAUUUUUAUAUAGAUAGAUUUUUUUUCCUUUUUGCAGUUUGUGGCCGAUUUCUCCCGCUGACGGAAAUAGGACGUACCCUCUCCUCGGCUCACUCGCCGCUUGCCAAAAUGAUGUUUGUUCUGCUGCUGGGGGGGGGGGGGGGGCAGGAGCAGCCAGCAGCCCUGCAGCCGUGAGGAGCCUCAGCCAGGCUGCUGAAGGGCUUCCAGUGAAACAGAUUUGCACGGUAAGUCACCUCGUUGCCUUGCGAUUAGGCUUUGCUCUGCUGUGCGCGGGAAGCAUUUAUCACCCGGGUCUCCCUCGUGUCGUGGGUUGUGAAGCUGUAGGAGCUUCACAAAAAGGGGGGAGCUCAGCAGCAGUCGGAUGCACCGAACCCCCAAGGUGUUGGGUAGCACUUCAGUCCUGCCGUGUGUUCUGCAAGGAGCGGCUGCUUUGGGAAGAAGCAGGGAGUGAAUCGGGAGUUUGCCAUCCCAUUCCGUUCUCGUGUUUCACACGGCAGUGUUGGAAGGGGAACAGUGCAGAAGAAAGCAUAGGAAAACUACAGAAAAUGGCAAAUGACGGUGUGCCACAAAGCCGGAUCCUGCCCUGGGACUCAUUUCCCUCUCGCCCUGCUUGCAGUGAGGUGGAUCAGCGUGAUGUUUCCUUCUGGGCUUUGCUGGGCCUCUCUUUAUCCCAUCCGGACGAUGCAGGCUGAUUUCUGGGCAAGGCUUUUCGCAGGGAAGCUGCUUGCUUCGUGAAACCCAGACGCCUUCUUGUUAGCGUCAUCAGAAAGCUAGAGGGCUCCCAAUUAGCGAGAAUUGAUUGGAAGCAGAGGGAAGCGUUAGCAUGCAUGAUGCACGGCUGAAGGAGAGCCAGCUUAUUUAGCUCUUUUCACACCGUAUGUUAUCCUGUUGGAAAAUUUACUGCGAUGCUUUUGCAGCUAUUGCUUUCUGCUGGACUCACAUCUUGUAUCAGCAGAAGAGAUCUUCUCCAGCACGGGCUAUGGAUCACUGUGACAGUGUAAAGCACGCUGUCAGUGAAACGCUUUAGCUGCUCGACAUUGCAUCCAUAUCCAGAGUUUGGCCAACCUGGGGAUAUCGAUUAGGGGAAUCCAUCUUUCUCAUGAGGCAGGGCUGCUGGAACUUUGUGAUAGCACUGCCACGCUGCAGAGCACCUGCAUGGGGCCUCUGUUCUGGUUCAGUGUUAACAACGCCCUGGUCGUGGUCAAACCCAAUGGUCGUGAGGAAAAGCCAUCCCUGGAUGGUGGGAGAGCGAUCCAGAAGAAGGUUUUACUGCUGGAUGCCGGUGGUGGGUAUGUGAGGUGUGUGAGGUUUGCAUUACCUGCUAGAGGAGGUCCUCCAACAGCUGCUAUCCCAGCAAAGAAGGAAGCGAAGCCCAAGUAGCUGUGGAGUUUUGGCACACCGACGAGGUCCACCUGUUGGUGUAAAAGCAAAGGGGUAAUUGUCAGGAAGGCUCGUGGGAAGCACGGGAGCCUCUUCCUGUGGCUUUUCCAGGUUCAUCUGCGGCUGCCGUGGGGUUUGGGGAGGACGCUGCACCUCCAGGUCUGACUCAGCCUGGAAUCCGCUCGCCUCCCUAAGGCCAGUGCUGAAAUUACAGCAUCCCAAGUGCACUUCUGUCUUCCCACCCUUUGGGCCCAUCCUGCAGCCCACGGUGCAGUGAGGGUGCGUCGGCUCUGAGCAGUUCCUUCCUGGGAGGACACGCCAAGGCGUGAUGAUGGUUCCCUACCCAGAUCCCAUUGUCCCCGUGCUGUGGGUAUUACUGACAAUCCAGGGGCUGGGACCCCGCUGACAGCCCCUUGGCUUUGCAUUAGGGCUGGUCAGUGCACAGGAUCCAUUCUGCUUCCUGUGAGCUUUUAGAAAGGAGGAUGUGGAAAGCAAUUCAGGAAGCCCCCAGUGCUCCUGGUGCAUCCCAGUCACCGGGCUGGGCAGACUGGGGCCCUGCUGUGGGGCUAUGGGGGCAGACCCCUCUCAUUCCAGACCGCAAGAGCCCACCGGCGCCCUUCAGCUUUACAAAAAGAUCAUUAGGUAUUUUGGAAUGCUGUCAGAAACGCCACGUCGUUCUGUUUUCUUCCACGUAUCUAU